AUUGAACGCUGGCGGCAGGCCUAACACAUGCAAGUCGAACGAGUGGCAGACGUGUGAGUAUUGUCGGGAAAACUGCCUGAGGGAGGGGGAUAACUACUGGAAACUGUAGCUAAUACCGCAUAACAGCAGAUGCGCCCAGAUGGGAAUAGCUUGUAGGUGGGGUAGAGGCUCAUCUAGGAGACUAUCCCUCGCUGGUCUGAGAGGAUGACCAGCCACACUGGAACUGAGACACGGUCCAGACUCCUACGGGAGGCAGCAGUGGGUAAUAUUGCACAAUGGGCGCAAGCCUGAUGCAGCCAUGCCGCGUGUGUGAAGAAGGCCUUCGGGUUGUAAAGCACUUUCAGCGGGGAGGCGUUAACCGCAGAAGAAGCACCGGCUAACUCCGUGCCAGCAGCCGCGGUAAUUC
rnacentral:rRNA from 1 species